rnacentral:sRNA from 1 species
UAUUUGAUGGAAACAGGCGUGUUGCCUC